CAUUGAGAAGGUGAUUAGGUCAUGAGGGUUCCUCCCUCAUGGGAUUAGCACCCUCACAAAGGAAGCCCAGAGAGAUGACCAGCCCCUUCCAUCAUGUGAGGACACAAAUAAGAAGCCCCUGAGUCUACAACUCAGAGGCCUCUCACUAGAACCUGAUCAUGUUGGCACCCUGAUCUCCAACUUCCAGCCUUCAGAACUAUUUGAUGAAGACCUAUGUGGGGCUUCUGCAGUGGCUCAGUAGUAAAGAACCCACCUGCCAAUGCCAGAGACGCUGAAGACGCAGGCUUCAUCUAAAUGUCUACAGUUCUGCAUCUCUUGUCAGCCCCAAGGCUUCAGUCCCUGUGGUCCCAGGAGUCUGGCAUCCCCCAAGGUUCGAGAGCGGCUGGGACCGUCAUCAUCUGCACUCCGGCUCGGAGAGUGUCUUCUACCUGUUC